AUGAUGACAGAAUUUUCAUUUUUGGGUGAACUACUCUUUUAAGAAAUGUCAAAAAGUCCCUGCUAAUAUUUUGUUUUGUUUUAUUUUCAGCUGGGGAGCCUGAUGAAGAGUUAGCUGAGGAGUACCCAGUAAAAAAAAAAGGAUCUAAUGUGAUUUUGCCUGGGGCACCUUGCUGUGAGUAAAAUCUCAAUGGAAUUAAGGGAAUAUGCAAGGUUAAAGUCAGUCUACCAUAUUUGUGUUAUAAUGUUGAUUACUACAA
ensembl:lncRNA